GGCAUUGGCGCAUCUGGGAACCGACGUCCGUGCGCGGCUGGCUAGAAUGCUGGACUCGCCUCCGCAGCGCUGGCCUGCAGGGAUUAGAAGACAUGUGGGGUCAAGGAACAGGAAGCUGACCUGGAUGGAAGUUGAACAGUGAUCUUUGCUCUCUGCCUGGCUCCUGAGUCCUCUGCCAUGUUCCUGGAGAAGAGGAGCCAGCCAGGGUAAGAAGGGCAGGGGCUUAGGGUGGAAACGCCAUGUGGGUGAGGAUCCUGCCUGAAACAGCUUUGAGAGUCCUGCGAUGACAGAUUGGCCCCAUGCCAGGCCUUAUCUCUUUGGACAUCCCAAACAGGAAUGACCAGCAUGUCCGAUCCUGGGACUGGGAGCCGGAAAGGGAUGAGGGAUGGUUUUUCCACUCCAGGGGAGUGUCCAGAGGGAAUGUGGAGCAGAGCAGGGGCGACUGGUAGGGGGAGGGCCUGAGCUAAAGAAUGUGGGGGAGUGUCAGACCAGUCUGGGGAGAUGGAGUGGGAGUGGAGGGAGACAUGGAGACUAGAAGGAUCUCAGCUGGAGAGAUGGAGAAAGAGAAAUCUCAGGGUUCUUUGGUUUCAGUGGCACCGUCGUCUGUAGGAUCAUCUCAUCCCUCAGUUGACUUUAUCAUGUCAACUCUUUAUCUGUCAACCCUCCCCCAUGGGGAAGAGACCCACCUAGAAACACACAGACAGACAGAGAAACAAGGACACAGGAAUAAUAUGUGUAAUGAGGAGUCUAAGUCCAUUUGUUGAUGUUUGCUGACAGAUUUUAAGCCUCACCCUUCCCUCUUCUCUGUGCCCUACACCUGGACAAGCUGAUAAGAAAGUCUGGGUGCACCCUCCUUUGGUGUUUGAGGGGGAAUAUUCACAAGCCCCUUCCUGAGGGAACCCUCACCCCUCAACCACAAUAAAAACCCAGGCCAGUCUCCUUCCUGGCUCUCCCAACACAUCUGGGACCUGCUUGAAAGACUGCCCCUGCUCCCCCUGGAGACCUCAAUUAUGUAAAUAAUAAACCUUUUCAUACUCUCUUGGUGUUUGGGUGGUGUCGUCAGUCUUCAUUCAAACCAAACCUUGGAUGGGAUCCAUCUGCCUCUGCAGGUGACCGUAACAACAUGCAAAUGGUGAGUUCUGCUGGGGGGUCAUGGAAGCUCCCUGGAGGAGGUGUAUCUGGACAACAGGGAAAGAAAGGAGCUGGAGAAGAGAGGCAGAAAAAUUGGGUCCUGGUUCAGGUGAAGUUUUCCCAGCUGGAACAAUGACAAUGUCAAUAUCCCACAAAGGCGGCUUCUGUUUAUUUAGCGCUUGCUGUGUUCCCACAAGUCUUCCUCUACCUGCCCUCUCCCCAGCCCUCAUCUCACUCUCCCAGAGCCCCAGAGCACACCAAUGGACACCAUCACCUCUCGGGCAGAUCAGCACAGAGACGUGAAGCACACAGGCAGCUGCUGGAAAAAUAACAAGGAAUUGCAAUGGUGUGCCCCUCCGUUGAAUGCAAGCUCUCUUCUGCCUUCUCACCUUGGGCAAGUUACCUUCCGUUCCAGGCCUCGGUUUCUCCAUGUGUGAAAUGAAAGGGCUGGAGAGAAAUCUCUCACUAUUCCCCAAUCUACAUUCAUUGUAUCCCAAACCUUCUAAUAUCUGUUCAACGAAGUGUACCAAAUCUCAGCUAUUGGACUGAGACUCAGGGGUCUAUCUGACUUGAAUUGAAAAUGCAAAUUACUGAAGAGGGAGGGAGGGAGGAGUGCUGAAGAUUGAAUGGAUUUAUCAGAUUUCCUUCUCCUAUGGCCCAGAUGCAGGCCUAGUCCAGGCGAUUCCCCUGGCUCAGAAUCUGCCAGGCUCAAGCAUUCAUUGACAGCCUACUAUGUACCAAUCCUGGGCUGAGUCCCAACCCGGGGAUGACUUAGAGGAGGCCAGGAUGUGGCCUCAUGUUCUGGUUGCUCUCACAUUUAAACAGGCUAAACCCACUUUGCAUUGUAUGUUAGGGGUGGUGCUUGUGGGACAAAGGGGGCUGUCAGAACAUUCUGGCUGCCACAUGAAGUUGACUUUGCCAGGACAGACUGGGUUGUGGGGGAAGGCAGCUACUGUAAUAAUUUGGCCAAGAAGUGGGCUGAGCAGGAGCAGGGCUGAGGGAGGGAGAGAGGGAAUGAGUAAGAAAGGCCCAGGGUACUGAUUUGACUGGGACUUCAGGGACAGGUGUGGGGCGAGAGGGAUGCUGGAAGUGAAGGAGGGAAAGUGCAGAGGCUUUCUGGGGAUUAAUAGGCAAUGAUCUCUAUGAGGGCGUGGUGAGUAGGCCCCAAACAUCCGGGGACUUCCCUGCCUGCCAUCCCUCUGUCUCUCUCUUCCUUUCCUACUGCCCAGGGCCUGGCCCUGCUGCACAUGCCCUGCCCUGGCCCCCAGAGUCCCCUUCUUUCCUGGCUGGGAGAUUAAGACUCUGCUGUGCCUACAGCAUUCUCAACCUCAAGUCAAGGUGGCCCUUUGGAGCCCAGGAGGCCACAUGGCUGAGUCAGGGCUGAGUCACCACCCCCCAAGGGCCUUGCCAUUUCCUGUGGAGAAGCCUCUUUACUGGCAGGGUUCUGUGCUCAGGUGGGAAAUCUGGAGAGGUCGGGGGCAGGGCUUCAUCUACUUUUACCCACUAACUCCCUAGACACUCCACUGGGGGUAGAGGGUUCCUACACGUAUGAUGAUCAAAACAUGUGUCUGUGCACAUGGGCCCUUAUGCAUUCACAGGUGUUUGCCUAUGCGACUGCAUGUCUGAAUGUUUUAUGUAUAUUUGAAUAUAGAUAGGGAACAAAUAUUUAUGGAGCACAUAUUAUGUGUGCAGCCUUUUACGUGUGUUACUUUCUAAUAACCCUAGGAGGCGUAGAUGCCUCCCAGGCUAUGGUUGAAAAUACUGACAUGCCCAAGGUGCAGGAGGUAUGAAUACCUCCCCACUGUGGCUGGUAACACCCCAGGUUUCUCCAACUCCACAGUGAUGGGCUUUCCUCCAGAGCCGGUUCCUCAGGGGCAGGAGUGAGAAGUGUGUGUGUCUGUAUUUAUCCUUCCACCAGUGGCUGUGAUUGGUCCUGUGGUUGGAAACAGGGUCAAGUAAGGCCCUUGGGAGUAGCUGGGUGAAUGGACGAUGGUGGCGUCCACCUUGGACAUGGCACAUACUUCUGGUCGGGUAUCCACGUGGCUGGCCAACCCGGACCUGCCCUAUUAGGGGCCAUCGCCCUCAUGGCUCAUCAGUGCUGAGUUUCAUUGCCUUCUUCGUAAUGCAAUACUAAUGGAUACAGGCAUGUAUCUGCCGUACACUAGAUGAAAUGUGGUUAUUUGCUCAGGUAGAAAUAAAGACUAAAAUACCAAAGUGGGAAAUCCUCUCCAUUGUGCCUUACUGAUAUUUAGGUAAAAAUUAUCUUAUUGGCUCUUUUUUUUUUUUUUUUGAGAGGGAGUCUCACUCUGCCCAGGCUGAAGUGCAAUGGCACAGUCUUGGCUUACUGCGAACUCUGCCGCCCGGUUUCAAGCAAUUCUCCGCAGCCUCCCGAGUAGCUGGGGUUACAGGCACACACAACCACGCCAGGCUAAUUUUUGUAUUUUUAGUAGAGACAGGGUUUCACCAUGUUGGCCAGGCUGGUCUCGAACUCCCUCCUCAGCCUCCCAAAAUGCUGGGAUUACAGGUGUGAGUCACCAUGCCCAGCCCAUCUUAUUGGCUCUUAAUAACUCAGACCAUAUGGUGAUAACUCCCAAAUCAGCACCCUCCCAAGUUCUGGCCCCGUGAAUUCAGUUGCUGAAUCCAAGUUCCUGAUUGGAAGUUCCUCAGGCACCAGCACUUGGGGCACCCGAGUGCUCUGCUCCAGGGGCUCAUCCCCGCUGGAAGCUUGAAUGUCUGCUCCUCCUUCUCUUCACCCAGCUCAGCCAAUCACUGUGUCCCUGAUUCUGCCUUCUUGCUGUCUUGCCAGUGUGUCUGCUCCUUUCUGUCCCUUCUCCCUGGAUGACUGCCAGUGCUUCCUGUUGCCCUCCCUGCCUCCAACUCUCCCUACCACCUGCAUGGCAGCCAGAGUGGGGUUCCUGCAAAUCUCCCCAAGUCUGUUUCCUACUUGGUAUGUCUGAUGGUUUCCUGCUGCCCUCAGCAUACAACGCCAUCCCUGAGAUGGCCCUGCUCAUCUUUCCACGCCCCCCCCCUCCGCCCUCCGCUGCCCCUCACCCCUUCUAAUUCUUCACCCAGGCCACAGAGCACCUUGCAGUUCCUCGAUGGAGCCAGUCUUCCUCUUGCCUCCAGCCUUUUGCUGUUUCUCCACCACCAGUCAUCUGGGCUACCCUCUAUUCUUCCAGGAGGUCACAGCCUAGAAGUCACAUCCUCUGAGUGGAGUCACCUGUCCACCCUUCCCUGGAGUAGGGAUCCUGACCUUAGGUUUAUCGUGACCCUUUCCACCUCCCCAGUCUGCCUUCAGCCCCCUCCGUCUCACUGGAUCCUCCUUCUCUCCUUGGGCACAAGGCUCUUCUGAUGGGCAAACACUAUGGUCAACUUUGGCCCCUUGCCCUCUGACCUUUCUAGGGUGGCAGCAGCGACCUGUUGACCUCUCCAUCUGUAUUUUAUUUAAACUCCUCUCUACCCUCUCCUUCCUAGAACUCUCUCCCUCUUGCAAGAUUCCUCAGUCCACUUUGGGCCUCUGUUUGUGAUUCUCAUCUCUUAUGUCUCCUCAGUUGACCCCUUGUUCGUUAACAUUCUCCUCCAUGCUGAUGAAACCCGCCAGGCUCCAGCCUUGAUGUUUAACUCUUGCCAGCCACCUCUGGCUGGCCGCAGGCUCCUUGGACUCCAUGUAUCCAGAAGUACUUAGCAUCUUCCCUUCUUCCUCAACAAGGGGCUCCUCCUGUAAUAGCCUCUGUCUCGGUGCCUGGUCCCC
rnacentral:lncRNA from 1 species